rnacentral:rRNA from 1 species
AUGGCCAGCCCCGGGUCUCCGAGCUUCAGCUCUCCCGAGCGCUUGUCCUACUGCGAUGCGGUCAGGUGCAAGGAUGAGAUCCAUCCGGUCAGGAGUUGGGGUCCGAGAUCCACCUGCCGCCGCCUCUAUCGAGUCUGGGAGCAGUGCCGCGGAGCUCGUCGCUCAGCCGCCGUUGUCGACUGCCACCUGUCCCUACAGUUUCGAUGGCCACGUCGUCCCACAGCUCGUCGCCGUCUCAACCUGCCGGCCGCCGAGACCUUGAGCUGCGCAGGGCGCAUGCGCCGGGAUCCGCCAGACUCACGGGUCGCUGUUGCCUCAGCCUCAGUCCUCCAUGGCUCCGGCCAUCCUCGUCUAGGUGGAUCACCCGAGACAGGGGCGGAAUACCGGCGAGGAAAACGAUCGAUCCAGAUUGUGGAGAAGCAUGGUUCAUGGUCAUUCAAACGAAACCUCCCUUUGGGGGAAAUAGCAAUGAUUCAGAAUCACCCCCUUCAGGAAAAUAAUAACGAUUCAGAAACUAAUGACCUGGUUCAGCUAAUGGAUAUCACUGAGUUUCUGCUAGCUAUGCAGUGCCAUGAUGGUCAGAUACAAAAUGCUGCAGAAGGGAAUAUCAAGCAAUUUAAGGAGCAGAGUUUUCCACAGUUUCUGCAAGCAUUAUCUGCUGAGCUAUCAAAUGAUAAUAAAUCUCCAGUAUCUCGAAGGCUUGCUGGCAUUCUGCUUAAAAGUUCUUUGGAUGCAAAAGAUUUAGCAAGGAAACAAAAAUGGUAUGAAUCACGUGGAGAAAAUUCAAGGGUCCGACAUGCUGCUGCUAAAGCAUUGUACGAUGCUCUUGAUUUUACCGAGACAAAAUUUCAGAAUGAAUCAGAGAGGAAGUACAUAAUGAAGGUAGUUUCUGAAACUGCCAUUUCUAAGGAGUCUGAUAUUAGGAAGGCUGCAUUUGAGUGUUUGGUCUCCAUAGCAUCAACAUACUAUGAUCUUCUAGAGCCCUACAUGCAGACAUUAUUUGAGUUGACAGCAAAUGCUGCCAGGGCAGAUGAAGAACAAGGGGCACCUGCCUUUGGCUUGUUGCAACGGCUGUCAAGGUUGCCAUUGUACCUCUCUGCUACAUUUGCAUUUGGUUCCAUUCUUGAAGGCCCUUCAGUUGAAAAGCUUGCACCACUGGUUCAUGAGACUACUGCAUGGGCACUUUCGAGGACAUUUGAGUUUCCACAUUCACCAACCAGUGGGUCUAUGUCAUCAGUGCUGUCACCCUAUUUUGGUCAAUUAGUAUCAGCUCUCCUUGCCAUUGCUGAUCGUUCUGAUUCCAUCAACUCCAGGCUUUGUGCAUCUGCAUAUGAAACACUUAACGAGAUUGCGAGAUGCAGCAGCAUUGCAGACACCCUGAACAUGAUUGUGUUAUUAUUGCAAGAGAUCUUGAAGAGAUUAAACCAGGCCUUUGAGUUUCAGAUCGCAUCCUCUCAGGACAAGGAAAAGCAAAGUGGCCUUCAAGCCUUGCUAUGUGGUGUUCUUCAAGUAAUCCUUCAAAAGUUCAGCAACUGUGAUGAUAAAUCAGUAAUCGUUCAGUUUGCUGACCAAAUAAUGGUGUUAUUUCUCCAGUAUGCUGUGUUUCUGUGGGUGUGUUUGCGGACAUCUGUCAUGCCCUGGAUGACAAGGUACUCCCUUACUGUGAUAUGUAUCAUGUCCACCCUUCUCAAGUUCCUUUCAAGCCCAGAGCUUGAUCGUUCUGUGAAACCACCAAUUUUGUCAUGCAUAGGAGAUAUUGCACUUACAAUUGGUGAGCAUUUUGAGAAAUAUGUUCCAUACACUCUGCCUAUGUUGCAAGGAGCUGCAGAGCUUUGCUCUCUUAUGGAGCUUCCUGAUGAUGACAGUACAGAGUAUAAAAAUGAACUCAGGCGAAGCAUCUUCGAGGCCUAUUCGGGUAUACUUCAGGGAGUCAGAAGUUCAAAAUCAGAGCUCAUGGUUCCUUAUGCCGGCCAUAUUUUCCAGUUCGCCGAACUGGUGUUACGAGAGACAUCAAGGGACGAGGGUCUGACCAAAGCUGGAGUUGCCUUGGUCGGGGACCUCAUGGAUGCCCUAGGACCUUCCAUUAAACUGCUGCUCAAGAAUUCCAACUUCCACCCGGAGCUUCUUGGGUGCUGUUCCCAGUCUGAUGACGAACAGCUAAGGGAGACUGCGUCCUGGGUCCAGGGUGUGAUCUCACGUGUGCUGGUUUAUGAUGGAAAGCUUCUCCAAGGCAAAAGGGGGAAACAGGAGGAUGCACAAGCUGAAACUGGAGAUCAUGCUGAUGCUGAGAAGCCAAAGAUGUCGCACGGAAAACUGAAGAAGCCGCUGGUUCAGAGCUACCUUAGGGGGGCAGAUCCGCAGAUGCAGCAUCCUACAAGACUGAAUCAGCCGAAGGCAAGGCUUUCUUGGAGCUUCCUGGAGACGUUUCUGCACCUGUAUGAGAGAAAUAAGCAAGAUGAAAGCCAGCUGAAUCUGGAGGACCUCCCGUGGAGGGUGAGAAAACUGAGAAUGACCUCAAAUCCAGGGGUCUACCCUACAAUAUCCUCGGGGGAAAAGAAAGAAGAGGCGGAUAGCACUACCAAUUCAGCGACGCCUCCUACAGAGGAAAUAAAAGCAGAUGUUUCAGCGGAAGAGUCAGGAAAAGCCACAGAGAAUUCAGCAGACAGCGCUGCUCACCAGGGUCGUGUUCCGUGGUAA